UUUCGUUUCGAAUAAUUUGAGAGACAAAAUUCGUUUUGACUUUUGAAAAAUUCAAAUUAACCAGUUCAGAUUAUAUUUGCAUGUACUAGAUCUGAGUAUAUUAUAACGAAAUAUACUAAAACACGAGUUCUUCCCUACUGCAUCUUCGUCAACAUGAUUCGACUCGUUUGAUAUGCCGCGCCAAUGAAAACGUUUUUAUCCACCUGUUGGCAGUGUUUAUCGUAAUAUAAGUAUAUAAAUGCUUUCAUCCACUAGAUUCAAGAAUAUUAUUCGAAGAUAUACUAAAAUGCUCCCUCUGUGCAGUUUGCAAUAGAAAAUAUCACUUUCGAUCCCCUUCGGCCCUUCAGUCUCAUAUAGGUCAUAGGACUGAUAGGUCUACGAAAGUUUUGAUUGUGUAUUAGUGAAUAGUGACUGAAUACCUACUGCAAGAAGCAUAACUUAAUGAGGAAUAAGGGAUACAUGGAGUGUCUGAUUGGAAUAUUUCAAGAAUAUGGAAAAUUGUCCUGAUUAAAAUCAAAAUAUCAGCUGCAGUUCAUGAACAAUUGGGAGUACGUUAUUAUUUGCUGAUGAAAAUGCAAAUCAAUGGAUCUAUCGAUAUGAGUGGGAGACAAUUUUGGAAUAAUUGUUCAGGACCAGAUCUCAAGUGACAUUGGACAAAUCAUUCAAGAACAGAAACAAAAAGCAACAUAGACGAACCAAACCGUCCAGCCCAACUUGUUAUUGGUAACAGGGGAAUAUCUAUUAUAGUCGAAAGGUUCCAAAAUUGUAGAUGUAGAUGAACUUUCAAAAAUGUAUCUCUCCACAUAAAUAAUUUAUUCUUUAGGAGAUAACUAUGUUCCUUUGUAGUACAAUGUU